GUCAUAUGCUGUCUCAAAGAUAAGCAUGCAUGUCUCAGUACAAGCCAAAUUAAGGUGAAACCGCGAAAGGCUCAUUAAAUCAGUUAUGGUUCCUUAGAUCGUACCCACAAUUACUUGGAUAACUGUGGUAAUUCUAGAGCUAAUACAUGCAAACAGAGCUCCGACCGGAGACGGAAGGAGUGCUUUUAUUAGAUCAAAACCAAUCGGUGGCGGGUUCGCGCUCGUUAUCGUACAACUUGGUGACUCUGAAUAACUUUACGCUGAUCGCACGGUCAUCGCACCGGCGACGCAUCUUUCAAAUGUCUGCCUUAUCAACUGUCGAUGGUAGGUUCUGCGCCUACCAUGGUUGUAACGGGUAACGGGGAAUCAGGGUUCGAUUCCGGAGAGGGAGCCUGAGAAACGGCUACCACAUCCAAGGAAGGCAGCAGGCGCGCAAAUUACCCACUCCCGGCACGGGGAGGUAGUGACGAAAAAUAACGAUACGGGACUCAUCCGAGGCCCCGUAAUCGGAAUGAGUACACUCUAAACCCUUUAACGAGGAUCAAUUGGAGGGCAAGUCUGGUGCCAGCAGCCGCGGUAAUUCCAGCUCCAAUAGCGUAUAUUAAAGUUGUUGCGGUUAAAAAGCUCGUAGUCGAAUUUGUGUCUCGCGCCGCCGGUUCAUCGUCCGCGGUGUUAACUGGCGAGUCGCGAGACGUCCUGCCGGUGGGCUUAGCUCGCGAGGGCGGCCCAACUCAAUCCUGCCGCGGUGCUCUUCAUUGAGUGUCGAGGUGGGCCGGCACGUUUACUUUGAACAAAUUAGAGUGCUUAAAGCAGGCUAAAACUUCGCCUGAAUACUGUGUGCAUGGAAUAAUGGAAUAGGACCUCGGUUCUAUUUUGUUGGUUUUCGGAACCCCGAGGUAAUGAUUAAUAGGAACGGAUGGGGGCAUUCGUAUUGCGACGUUAGAGGUGAAAUUCUUGGAUCGUCGC
rnacentral:rRNA from 1 species